AGGGCAGCCUUCCAAGGCAUCACUGGGAUAUCUCUGAGAGGAGAGCUGAGGCAGCCUGACCUGUGUCCUGCUGGAGAAAGCACCUUCUGUUGCAUUUUUUUGUGGCUAUUAACUGGAACUCUGAAUGGGAUUCCAUAACUGUUGGGAUGACAAGUGUUGAAUUUUGAGCCAGGAAUGCCAGUGCUGAGUGAUUAAACAAUAAAUCAUAACACACAGAGACAACAGCAAUCCCUGGGACCAGCUGUAAGUGACAGACUUAUGGAAUGCUCUUUUAU